UACGGAGGAUGCGAGCGUUAUCCGGCUUUAUUGGGUUUAAAGGGUGCGUAGGCGGACUGUCAAGUCAGCGGUAAAAUACGGGGGCUCAACCUCCGCCCGCCGUUGAAACUGGGGAUCUAGAGUGUGCGAGAGGUAUGCGGAAUGCGUGGUGUAGCGGUGAAAUGCAUAGAUAUCACGCAGAACCCCGAUUGCGAAGGCAGCGUACCGGCUCCACACUGACGCUGAGGCACGAAAGCGUGGGUAUCGAACAGG
rnacentral:rRNA from 1 species